rnacentral:tRNA from 1 species
GGAGGGAUGGGUGAGUGGCUGAAACCACCAGUUUGCUAAACUGACGUACUGGUAACGGUACCGCGAGUUCGAAUCUCGCUCUCUCCGCAA